CAGAGCUAUGCACACUGACUGACAUAUAUACACACACACAAUGCACACCUUGACACAUACACACACUUUGACAAAUGCACACACUGACACUUGCACACACUGACACACAGAUACACACUGACAUGUAUACACCUUAACACACAGAUGCACAUACUGAUACAUGCACAGACCUUGAACUACACACACAAAAUCUGACACACAUAGACACAUACAUGUAAUUUUAUAUUUGCAGCCACCCUCCUUUUAGCAUACAUGUUGUGUCCAGGAGGGAAACUUGCUUGGGGCCCUGCUUCUCCUGGAUGAGGCUGAUGGGAGUUAGAGUCUGCAGCAGCUCACUUCUUCCUCUCUUCUCCGAGCUACAUUUGCUGCUGCCGUCUCCUCCUCCCUCCCUCCAGCGUGGCACGCUCUCUUUAAAGCUG